ensembl:lncRNA
UAGUCCCGCUGUAGACCCGGUCUAGUCUCGGGUCUAGUCCUGCUGUAGACCCGAUGGUUUUUAGGAGGUGCUCUUUUGGUUUUGCUCUGUUCUAGAUCACUGUAGUUUCUUUAGGUUCUUCAGGCGUUUAUGUAGUUUCUUUAGGUUCUUCAGGCGUUUAUGUCGUUUCUUUAGGUUCUUCACGCGUUUAUGUCGUUUCUUUUGGUUCUUCAGGUGUUUUUGUCGUUUCUUUAGGUUCUUCACGUGUUUAUGUCGUUUCUUUAGGUUCUUCAUGCGUUUAUGUCGUUUCUUUUGGUUCUUCAGGUGUUUAUGUCGUUUCUUUUGGUUCUUCAGGUGUUUAUGUCGUGGGCUGGAGACAGACCGAUAUAUCAGGUCAAUAUUUACACUUUUGAGCGUAUCGGCCUUAAAUCUCCAGCACAGGCCAAUUUUGUUUUGGUCAAUCUGCUGCAUAAAAAUCCACACAAAGCUCCAUAUGAACAUUUUAGUAAAUUUAAAUUAUAUAAUUUGGAGAAAAAAAUCUGAAGCAGCCCCUCAUAUUGGCCCAAAAACAUCAGUGCAGAAACAUUGGCAGAUUUUAUCGUCCGUCAUUUUCUCUGGAUUAUAAAUAAUUGACAUCGAUCAUGAGAAAACUGAACAAGUCACAGCUGAUUUUUGUUCUAAUCCUCAGGAUCGUCUGUUUUUACGUGUACAUUUUUGUUUGUUCAAAUUCUGAAAGUGUUAAAAUAAACCCUCUACUACCCUGUACUGAAGUAAAAGUAAAAAGUAUACACUAAAAUGUACUUAAGUACAGAUACUGCUCUCACGUGUAGUGAAGUAUCCACUUUAAAACUGUAUCUGUUCUGAAGUACAGAUACAUAAAACUUUAAUUCUUUACUUUAUUCUUACUUUUUC